GACGAACGCUGGCGGCGUGCCUAAUACAUGCAAGUCGAGCGGACAGACGCGGAUCUUGCUCCUCUGACGUUAGCGGCGGACGGGUGAGUAACAAGUGGAUAGCCUACCUCUAAGACUUGGAUAACUUCGGGAAACCGGAGUUCCUAAUGGAUGAUAUAUUGAACCGCUUGGUUCAAUAGUGAAAGACGGUUUUGCUGUCACUUAGAGAUGGAUCCGCGCCGUAUUAGCUAGUUGGUAAGGUAACGGCUUACCAAGGCGGCGAUGCGUAGCCGACCUGAGAGGGGGAUCGGCGACACUGGAGCUGAGACGCGAUCCAGACUCCUACGGGAGGCAGCAGUAGGGAAGCUUCCGCGAUGGGGGGAAGCCUGACGGAGCAGCGCCGCGUGAGUGAUGAAGGUCUUCGUAGCGUAAAACGCCGUUAUUGGUGAAGAACAAAUGUGUAAGUAACUAUGCAUGGCUUGACGGUAGCUAGUCAGAAAGCCACGGCUAACUACGUG
rnacentral:rRNA from 1 species